UACGGGGGGGGUAAGCGUUGUUCGGAAUUACUGGGCGUAAAGGGCUCGUAGGCGGCCAACUAAGUCGGACGUGAAAUCCCUCAGCUUAACUGGGGAACUGCGUCCGAUACUGGAUGGCUUGGAUUUGGGAGAGGGAUGCGGAAUUCCAGGUGUAGCGGUGAAAUGCGUAGAUAUCUGGAGGAACACCGGUGGCGAAGGCGGCAUCCUGGACCAAUAUUGACGCUGAGGAGCGAAAGCCAGGGGAGCAAACGGG
rnacentral:rRNA from 1 species